UACGAACCGUGCGAACGUUGUUCGGAUUCAUUGGGCGUAAAGGGUGCGUAGGCGGCGCGGUAAGUCGGGUGUGAAAUCUCGGAGCUUAACUCCGAAACUGCAUUCGAUACUGCCGUGCUUGAGGACUGGAGAGGAGACUGGAAUUUACGGUGUAGCGGUGAAAUGCGUAGAUAUCGUAAGGAAGACCAGUGGCGAAGGCGGGUCUCUGGACAGUUCCCGACGCUGAGGCACGAAAGCGUGGGGAGCGAACAGG
rnacentral:rRNA from 1 species